UUAAUUGAAGCUAAAUAGAAGCAAUCCACUGUUAAUGGAAAAAAUGAUUUUUAAUCCAAUUAAA
rnacentral:tRNA from 1 species